GCGCCCUUAGCUCAGCUGGAUAGAGCGUUGGCCUCCGGAGCCAAAGGUCAGAGGUUCGAGUCCUCUAGGGCGCGCCA
rnacentral:tRNA from 2 species